CAGGACGAACGCUGGCGGCGUGCCUAAUACAUGCAAGUCGAACGGCUUUUCUAUGGAAGCUUGCUUCCACUGAGAAGAUAGUGGCGGACGGGUGAGUAACACGUGGGUAACCUGCCCAUAAGAGGGGGAUAACAUCCGGAAACGGGUGCUAAUACCGCAUAGUUUUUCUGAUCGCAUGAUCGGGAAAGGAAAGACGGCCUUUGUGCUGUCGCUUAUGGAUGGACCCGCGGCGUAUUAGUUAGUUGGUGAGGUAAUGGCUCACCAAGACGAUGAUACGUAGCCGACCUGAGAGGGUGAUCGGCCACAUUGGGACUGAGACACGGCCCAAACUCCUACGGGAGGCAGCAGUAGGGAAUCUUCCGCAAUGGACGAAAGUCUGACGGAGCAACGCCGCGUGAGUGAAGAAAAGGUUUUCGGAUCGUAAAACUCUGUUGUCAGAGAAGAACAAGUUGGAGAGUAACUGCUCCAGCCUUGACGGUAUCUGACCAGAAAGCCACGGCUAACUACGUGCCAGCCGCCGC
rnacentral:rRNA from 1 species